AAGGUUACCUAGUGGCGGACGGGUGAGUAACGCGUGAGUAACCUGCCUUACACAGGGGGAUAACACCUGGAAACAGGUGCUAAUACCGCAUAAGCGCACAGGGCCGCAUGGCCCGGUGUGAAAAACUCCGGUGGUGUAAGAUGGACCCGCGUCUGAUUAGCUUGUUGGCGGGGUAGGGGCCCACCAAGGCGACGAUCAGUAGCCGGCCUGAGAGGGUGGACGGCCACAUUGGGACUGAGACACGGCCCAAACUCCUACGGGAGGCAGCAG
rnacentral:rRNA from 1 species